rnacentral:rRNA from 1 species
AACGAACGCUGGCGGCAGGCCUAACACAUGCAAGUCGAACGGACUCUUCGGAGUUAGUGGCGCACGGGUGCGGAACACGUGGGAACAUACCCUUUGGUAAGGAAUAAUAUCUGGAAACGGAUACUAAUACCUUAUAAUGACUUCGGUCCAAAGAUUUAUCGCCAAAGGAUUGGCCCGCGCAUGAUUAGUUUGUUGGUGAGGUAAUGGCUCACCAAGACUACGAUCAUUAGCUGGUCUGAGAGGACGAUCAGCCACACUGGAACUGAGACACGGUCCAGACUCCUACGGGAGGCAGCAGUGAGGAAUAUUGCACAAUGGGGGAAACCCUGAUGCAGCCAUGCCGCGUGUAUGAAGAAGGCCUUAGGGUUGUAAAGUACUUUCAAUAGUGAAGAUUAUGACGGUAGCUAUAGAAGAAGCCCCGGCUAAAUUCGUGCCAGCAGCCGCGGUAAUACGAAUGGGGCAAGCGUUGUUCGGAAUAACUGGGCUUAAAGCGUGCGCAGGCGGAUAUGAAAGUCAGAAGUGAAAUCCCAGGGCUCAACCCUGGAACUGCUUUUGAAACUCCAUAUCUAGAAUCCCGGAGAGGUUAGGGGAAUUCCGAGUGUAGCAGUGAAAUGCGCAGAUAUUCGGAGGAACACCAGUGGCGUAGGCGCCUAACUGGACGGGAACUGACGCUGAGGUACGAAAGCGUGGGGAGCAAACAGGAUUAGAUACCCUGGUAGUCCACGCCGUAAACGAUGUAUGCUAGUUGUUGGAAUCCAUAGGGUUUCAGUGACGCAGCUAACGCGAUAAGCAUACCGCCUGGGGAGUACGAUCGCAAGAUUAAAACUCAAAGGAAUUGACGGGGACCCGCACAAGCGGUGGAGCAUGUUGUUUAAUUCGAAGCAACGCGAAGAACCUUACCUACACUUGACAUACUCGUCGGGAUUUCCAGAGAUGGAUUUCUUCGGUUCGGCCGGACGAGAUACAGGUGCUGCAUGGCUGUCGUCAGCUCGUGUCGUGAGAUGUUAGGUUAAGUCCUGCAACGAGCGCAACCCUUAUCGUAUGUUGCCAUCAUUAAGUUGGGAACUCAUGCGAGACUGCCGGUGUUAAGCCGGAGGAAGGUGGGGACGACGUCAAGUCAUCAUGGCCCUUACGUGUAGGGCUACAAACGUGCUACAAUGGCUACUACAGUGGGCAGCAAACCGGCGACGGUGAGCGAAUCCCCAAAAGUAGUCUCAGUUCGGAUUGUUCUCUGCAACUCGAGAACAUGAAGUCGGAAUCGCUAGUAAUCGUGGAUCAGCAUGCCACGGUGAAUACGUUCCCGGGUCU